rnacentral:piRNA from 1 species
UAAUAACACUGCUAGUUGAUUUAACAAUAAA